rnacentral:rRNA from 1 species
GCUCGUGUUGUGAAAUGUUGGGUUAAGUCCCGCAACGAGCGCAACCCUUAUCCUUUGUUGCCAGCGGUCCGGCCGGGAACUCAAAGGAGACUGCCAGUGAUAAACUGGAGGAAGGUGGGGAUGACGUCAAGUCAUCAUGGCCCUUACGACCAGGGCUACACACGUGCUACAAUGGCGCAUACAAAGAGAAGCGACCUCGCGAGAGCAAGCGGACCUCAUAAAGUGCGUCGUAGUCCGGAUUGGAGUCUGCAACUCGACUCCAUGAAGUCGGAAUCGCUAGUAAUCGUGGAUCAGAAUGCCACGGUGAAUACGUUCCCGGGCCUUGUACACACCGCCCGUCACACCAUGGGAGUGGGUUGCAAAAGAAGUAGGUAGCUUAACCUUCGGGAGGGCGCUUACCACUUUGUGAUUCAUGACUGGGGUGAAGUCGUAACAAGGUAACCGUAGGGGAACCUGCGGUUGGAUCACCUCCUU